CAUGGAUUAUUCCUUCCAGGUUGAUUUGGUUCUGGUUUGAUCAGGGGAGACCUCCUGAAUCCUGACAGCUGAUAUCUAUCAACCAAGAUUAUAACUUGCCUUCCCAGGACGGACAUUAUCUCCAAUUUUCUUCUCAAGGACCCAUGGGGAUAUCUUGGCCCACAGCCAGCAGGAAGUGAAAACUGAGAAAUGGAGCACCAGCAAGACUCAGAGGGCCUCUGUCAGUAAGCCUCAGAACAGGCUUCCACAGCAAAGAAUGGCUGUGUCUUCCCAGCAAGGUCUAUGCAUAUGCUGAGGGACAAUCAGUUCUCUGUGCUUCCUCUCCCCGGCAUCCAGAAGACACCUUCACUAACGCUUACAUGACUGAGGCCUGCAAGACUCAAGUGGGACACUGGUAAUGGAAUCUGAAGAUAAUAUUUAUUGUUGUGAAGCCUUUGAGCUGGUCAUUUACCAAGACCUGCUUGCUGGGAGAAGACUCUGAGUGGGACAUCUGCUGCGACAGAUACUGUAUCAAUGUUCCCAUCACAGUUGUCAGAAAACAGUGCCCUGCAGUGAGCCAGAUAUGUCUUCCUGGGGAUGACUUCUGAAACCUGAAAUGCUUUCCCGUGAUGUCCCCUCACAGUAAUUGAUGGAUCCCCUUCCAGGCCUUGGGUUUGGUUUAGAAGAGUGGAGGCAAGGAUAUCAGGAUAUUGGAGCUGGCCUGUUCAAUAUGAACUGAAUGUUUGCCUGGAAGAAGUGUCCACAGGGGCUUUUACUUGCUGUGAAAGUCCUGCUUGGGAUUCUUCCUCUCUUUAUUCAUGCAUAUCCAUUUCCUUUUCUGCAUUCAUUUCUCACAUUUUAAGCAAUGCACUCAACUCUGAUUCAUUGUUUAAAAUGUUAGCUUCCUAAACUGUGUGAACCAUCCGACUUGAAUGCAGUGCCCUUCCCUUGCUGAAAUUCACACCUGCGGAAGAAACUAGUUUCAGGCACGUGUACUGGUGCCCGAUACCUUUGUCAGGGUGUUGGAUUUGUGUGUCUUACUUCUAGUUGGAUGAUGUAAAGACAAUAGGAGAGGAAGGAAGACAAUAGGGAUGUGAAUGAUAUACAUGUCUUUUGCUUUGGAUGUACCAUGUUCCCCGCAGGCUCAGUCAUUGGAAUAGUUGCUCCCGAUCUAAAGGUGCUGCUUUGGGGUUUUAUGAAACCCCUGGGAAAUAGGUCCUCACUGAUAGGUGUACGCCACUGGAGAUAGAACUUAAGGGUUACAGGUCCUGGCUUCCGGUUCGGUUUUCUGUUUCCUGGUCAGUCAUACCAUGGGAGAAGCUGUCUCUGAAAAUAUCACCCCCCACAGACAGGGUUGUCCUAGCUGCCAUGAAUCCCCUCCAUAAUAGACAGUAUGCAUCAAAGCUGUGGUCCAACAGAAACUCUGCCUCCCAUGAAGUUGCUUUAACCACAUACUAUGUCACACCAGUGAGAAAAGUAACAAGUACAAUCCAUUAUGAUGAAACUCAUUGUUGUUUAUGCUAACAAAAAUUAAUGAAAGAAGAUUCCAUUUCCUGACAUGAUGGAUUGAUCACAUGACACUCCCCACCCCCCCCACCCCAUCUCUGAUCAGUCUUGCCAUGUCCUGCACAGUAGGGUACCUUUCCAUGCCAAGUGAUCGCAGUUAUGAUGUGCUUUGCCAGAUAGAAGUAAACUAAGCACACACACAAAGACAGAUACACAGAGAGACAGGGAGACAGGGAGACAGAGAUAUAGGACUAGAAAGGUCUUCAGCUCCAGAACUGCCCAGACAGCUCUCCAGUUCCCUACUGGAAACAAAUUGUUAAAACAAAAAAAAUAAAUAAAAUAAA